GAUGAACGCUGGCGGCGUGUCUAAUACAUGCAAGUCGAGCGAACGGACGAGAAGCUUGCUUCUCUGAUGUUAGCGGCGGACGGGUGAGUAACACGUGGAUAACCUACCUAUAAGACUGGGAUAACUUCGGGAAACCGUAGCUAAUACCGGAUAAUAUUUUGAACCGCAUGGUUCAAAAGUGAAAGACGGUCUUGCUGUCACUUAUCGAUGGAUCCGCGCUGCAUUAGCUAGUUGGUAAGGUAACGGCUUACCAAGGCAACGAUGCAUAGCCGACCUGAGAGAGUGAUCGGCCACACUGGAGCUGAGACACGGUCCAGACUCCUACGGGAGGCAGCAGUAGGGAAUCGUCCGCAAUGGGCGAAAGCCUGACGGAGCAACGCCGCGUGAGUGAUGAAGGUCUUCGGAUCGUAAAACUCUGUUAUGAGGGAAGAACAUAUGUGUAAGUAACUGUGCACAUCGUGACGGUACCGAAUCAGAAAGCCACGGCUAACUACGUG
rnacentral:rRNA from 1 species